CCCAGCUUGCUGGGUUGAUUAGUGGCGAACGGGUGAGUAACACGUGAGUAACCUGCCCCUGACUCUGGGAUAAGCGUUGGAAACGACGUCUAAUACUGGAUAUGAUCGCCGGCCGCAUGGUCUGGUGGUGGAAAGAUUUUUUGGUUGGGGAUGGACUCGCGGCCUAUCAGCUUGUUGGUGAGGUAAUGGCUCACCAAGGCGACGACGGGUAGCCGGCCUGAGAGGGUGACCGGCCACACUGGGACUGAGACACGGCCCAGACUCCUACGGGAGGCAGCAGUGGGGAAUAUUGCACAAUGGGCGAAAGCCUGAUGCAGCAACGCCGCGUGAGGGAUGACGGCCUUCGGGUUGUAAACCUCUUUUAGUAGGGAAGAAGCGACUGAAUUUAUUCUGAGUGACGGUACCUGCAGAAAAAGCACCGGCUAACUACGUGCCAGCAGCCGCGGUAAUACGUAGGGUGCAAGCGUUGUCCGGAAUUAUUGGGCGUAAAGAGCUCGUAGGCGGUUUGUCGCGUCUGCUGUGAAAUCCCGAGGCUCAACCUCGGGCUUGCAGUGGGUACGGGCAGACUAGAGUGCGGUAGGGGAGAUUGGAAUUCCUGGUGUAGCGGUGGAAUGCGCAGAUAUCAGGAGGAACACCGAUGGCGAAGGCAGAUCUCUGGGCCGUAACUGACGCUGAGGAGCGAAAGCGUGGGGAGCGAACAGGAUUAGAUACCCUGGUAGUCCACGCCGUAAACGUUGGGCGCUAGAUGUAG
rnacentral:rRNA from 1 species